rnacentral:tRNA from 1 species
GGGCGGAUGGUUUAGUGGUAUAAUACUCCCUUAGCAUGUUCCCACCUAGCGGAAUUGGACUUGGGAGUGGUCCGGGGUUCGAUUCCCCGUUCGUCCA